GCUGACCCUAACCAAUUCCAAAUACGAGGCUAACGAACGAAAGAGACAGAAUCGUUGGUCUAACACAGUAUUAGAUCUAAAGCCAGUAAUUGAUCAAGAUAUGUUUAGAGUCCCGAGUUAAGCCUUUUUAGGGGACAUGGAGACACCAUGUUCACUCAGUAUCAUGAGUGAUAAAGGUUUGAAUUUCAAUUUAGUAACCAUUAUUGCAUGAACGUGCAAUGCACGUAGACUGCAUAGGGAUGCGUGCAAGCUCUACAUUAUAGGAAGGGGUUUAAUUAGCACACCAAAACGAGUGCACGAUCAGAUAGAACUUAGAAGUUGAGCAUGCCACAUUAUUUACACUUGAACCUUGAGGCACGUCCUCUUGUCAUAUUCCUCCUAUAGAGGGUAGUGAGAAAUCUAAAUGGACAAUGACAUGUCAUGGAUAUAUGUGUCUGAUAUUCCUAGUGAUAGAGUCUUUAUAAUAAAUUAUAGGCCUAGACUGAGCCAGAGGAUAAUUUCGUUCUUGAAAUUCUCAAUCAUGCUAUCUAAAGAAGAUGUAAAAGUACCAUUCAUCAUUCGCACUUAAACAAAACACAGGUGGCCUGAGUGUUAAAAACUUCACUGUAUUUCUAUGUAUGUCAUAUGUUUGAAAAGUAUUAUUGUAGAUUUGUCUUGUUUAAACUUAAUGUUUCUGGAGAUGGAAGUAGUUUUCAUAGCUGCCUACAUGUCUCUGUCCCAGUUUUUUUUUGGUUUGCAUUGCCUUUAUAGAAUGUUAGGCAAGUUUUGGGGGCUAAACAGUGGUUUGGGUAAUAAAGUUAACUCGAAGUCACACAAGUCAAAUUAUCACUAAGUUGAAUUUAAAAUUUUGACCAAACUAUGCAAAACGUGUUAUUUCCACUUCCCAAUAAGUCAAAUUUUGCAAUAGUCUAAAUUUAUUUUUGAUGCUCCCAACAGAUUUGACUUAUGCGGAGUUACCUGAUGAGUGAUUCGCUAAGCUAAGACACCGCGGAAGGACGUGGGUUUAAGGUCUAAGAGGAGCACCAGCACUCCCAGGUUGCGAAAAAAAAGGGCUAGGAUAUCAACUUCAGGGGGAUUUACUCCAGAAAGACUUAAGCUGUCUACUCCAGUAAAAUCAACCGAGCCUGAAGAGAUGACCUUUUGUCGAUAGAUCAGCCAGGAAGCUUGCCAAGGAUCAUUAUCCUACCACUACUUUCACUUCUCCAUCUACCUCGUUCUCCCAUCAACCAUCUUCAGCAGCGUCAUCAACGCCGUCAACGAAAACUCAAAAGCCAUGGCAACCAAAGACACGGUCAAGAGUGCAGAGUCCAAGAGAGCAAGGAUGGCCUCGGAGUCAAGAUCAGAAAAGCAUAAAAAGGAAAUUGCUGUCCAUUGUAGAGGAGACACUUGCAGCCGAGGGGACUGAUUCCAGUCAUGUUUGCUUCAA